AUCCACCUUGGCUUCCCACAGUGCUAGGAUUACAGGCCUGCGUCACCACGCCCAGCGGACAUGCUGUUUUAGAUUAGAUGGUUGGAGAAAGCCUGGUGGUGGUGGUGGGGGAAACACUUGAGCAGAGAAUUACUAUCUGAAUGAGUCAAACUUGUGGCUUUUGAGAUAAAAGCAUUCCAGGAAGAGGACCAUCAAGGGCAAAAAUCUGGAGACUAUAUUGACAGAAGAGGUGAGUAUCCUUCCAGAAUGGUGGAAGAGGCUAGACUGGCUGGAGAGGAAGCCUGAAGGAGAAUAGUAGGGAAUAAUAUAUAAGAGGAAAAAGAAGGUAAAAGAGUUGUAUGGGAGUAGUGUUGGGGAUUGCUGAUGACUGGUUUAUGUAGGGUUUGUGUACCAUAAUAAGGAAAUAGGAUUUUAUUCUGCGUGGGAUGGGAAUCUUGGAGAGUUUAGAUUUAUAGAGUUCAGUCUAGCUUCUCUGUGGAGAAUAAACUGUGGGGGGCAAGGGUGAAAGCAGAGAGAUUAGUUAUGAUCUUAAAUAGCCAUAGAGUAUACAACACUGUACUAGAUACAGUGAGCUUUAUCAAAUUUAGUUUGUAGUAUUUCUCCCCUAGAUUUGACUUUUACCCCUUGAGGAAUGGAGGUAAGAAGUAAACAUGAAUUCAUAAUGAACAUUUGUAUUUGUAAAUGAUAAGUUUAGGAAUUAUAGUUAAAACUCUGGAGGGAUUCAGAUUUGUACAGAUAAAGUAUCACUUGCCUAUUUCAAGAAAUAUGAUAAACUUCCCCAAAGAAACUCCAAUACCUUUUAUAGUUAUAGCGUACAGUGAUUUUUUUCCUAGGUCUUCCAAAAAAGGCUAUGUUGCACAAUUUUGACAAAUUAAAUAUUUUGUGUGCUAUUUUCCUUUCCAUUUUGACUAGAUGACAUUUUGAAUUUGAAACUUCCUUGGUUUUUCCAAUGUAUGUCAAAGUUCUAGAAAGUAUUUAAAAGGCAAAAUCCUUAGACUUUAAGCAAGCAAGUUAAUAGUGAUGAAAAUAAUAUAAAAUAAAUAUAAAAAUGUCAACCUGGAAAAUUUAAACCGACAGAAUAAUAUGUCUGAAUUUGCUGACAAACCUGCUAUGUCUUGUGUUUAUUUCCUAUGUUGCGCCUCCUAAGUCUAGAAAGGCGGUGCAACACAGGAAAUAAAUCUGAAAUUUGAGAAGUUCAGAACUCUUAAUAUCUAACUGGGUGAAUGAAGUCCCUUGAGUCAAAAAUGAAAUCACUUGUAAGAGAGAAAA